rnacentral:ncRNA from 1 species
CCCGAACCUGGGUGAUCUAUCCAUGACUAGGAUGAAGCUUGGGAGAAACUAAGUGGAGGUCCGAACCGACUGAUGUUGAAGAAUCAGCAGAUGAGUUGUGGUUGGAAGUGAAAUGCCACUCGAACUCAGAGCUAGUUGG